CGGACGGGUGAGUAACACGUGGGCAAUCUGCCCGAAAGUGGGGAAUACCCCAGGGAAACUUGGGCUAAUACCGCAUGUGAUCGCGACCUCGAGAGAGGAUGCAAUCAAAGGGGGGUCGCAAGACCUCCCGCUUUCGGAGGAGCCCGCGCCCGAUUAGCUAGUUGGUGAGGUAACGGCUCACCAAGGCUUCGAUCGGUAGCCGGCCUGAGAGGGUGAUCGGCCACACCGGAACUGAGACACGGUCCGGACUCCUACGGGAGGCAGCAGUGGGGAAUCUUGCGCAAUGGGCGAAAGCCUGACGCAGCAACGCCGCGUGAAGGAUGAAGGUCCUUGGAUUGUAAACUUCUGUCGGCCGGGAAGAAAUUCAUCGGGGUCAAUACCCCCGGUGAUUGACUGUACCGGCAAAGGAAGCCCCGGCUAACUCUGUGCCAGCAGCCGCGGUAAUACAGAGGGGGCAAGCGUUAUUCGGAAUUAUUGGGCGUAAAGGGCGCGUAGGCGGUCCUUCAAGUCUCUCGUGAAAUCCCUCGGCUUAACUGAGGACGUGCGGGAGAUACUGCUGGGCUUGAGUCCGGAAGAGGGUGGUGGAAUUCCCAGUGUAGCGGUGAAAUGCGUAGAUAUUGGGAGGAACACCGGUGGCGAAGGCGGCCACCUGGGCCGGAACUGACGCUGAGGCGCGAAAGCGUGGGGAGCAAACGGGAUUAGAUACCCCGGUAGUC
rnacentral:rRNA from 1 species